UAAUCUGUUUAGGGCAAAUUCUUAUCUAGUUGGCAAAUUCACACCUGACUGCUCAAACUCACUUGUUAUCACAAGGUCGUCUACAUCAUUCUUCCUGGAUUGGAGAGAACUCGUCCUUGAUUUCUGUUCCUCCUCCAAAUUUGUUA
rfam:Populus trichocarpa isolate Nisqually-1 chromosome 11, whole genome shotgun sequence.